ensembl:lncRNA
GGGCGGCAGGUAGUCUAGUGGUUAGAGUGGAGGGGCGGCAGGUAGCCUAGUGGUUAGAGUGGAGCGGCGGCAGGUAGCCUAGUGGUUAGAGUGGAGGGGCGGCAUGUAGCCUAGUGGUUAGAGUGGAGGGGCGGCAGGUAGCCUAGUGGUUAGAGUGGAGGGGCGGCAUGUAGCCUAGUGGUUAGAGUGGAGGGGCGGCAUGUAGCCUAGUGGUUAGAGUGGAGGGGCGGCAGGUAGCCUAGUGGUUAGAGUGGAGGGGCGGCAUGUAGCCUAGUGGUUAGAGUGGAGGGGCGGCAGGUAGCCUAGUGGUUAGAGUGGAGGGGCGGCAGGUAGCCUAGUGGUUAGAGUGUUGGACUAGUAACCGAAAGGUUGCAAGUUCAAAUCCCGAGCUGACAAGUUACAAAUCUGUCGUUCUGCCC